UACGUAGGCAGCAAGCGUUGUUCGGAGUUACUGGGCGUAAAGGGUGCGUAGGCGGUCCUAUAAGUAUGGUGUGAAGUCUCCCGGCUUAACUGGGAGGGUGCGCUAUAGACUGUGGGACUAGAGUGUGGGAGAGGAAAGUGGAAUUCCUGGUGUAGCGGUGAAAUGCGUAGAUAUCAGGAGGAACACCGGUGGUGUAAACGGCUUUCUGGACCAUAACUGACGCUGAGGCACGAAAGCGUGGGGUAGCAAACAGG
rnacentral:rRNA from 1 species